rnacentral:lncRNA from 1 species
CAUUGUAGUUACAUUGUGGUCACGGUAUGUUUGUGAUGUCAUUCCUACCUCAUGCUUUGCAAUAUCAACACCAAUUUAGAAUAACAGGCUGAAGGAUUUAAAAUUAUGACUCAAAAAUGCCCUAUCCAUGGGGCAGUUUUAACUCAGAAUAGCCUAUAUUACUUGUUGGGACCCUGAAAAGUUCAGUACCAACAAGUCAAAUGGUGUGGGAAACCUUUGCAGAACACUCUGAUAGAAAGAACAAUGCCAAUAUGCCCAAUCCUUUGGGGCAAUUGUGAUUUUAGUUAUUCUAUAUUAGAUGUAGUAUCAUGGGAAGUUACCUUGCAACAUUUGGUCCCAAUAGGUCAAAUAGUGUGGGAGUCUAUGCAGAACAAAAAACAAACAGAGAGAAAGACAGUCAAACAUUGUAUUUUAUAUAUAUGUAUGUAUGUUACACUCAAAGACUGAAAUUGCACAAUGACCGAAAAAACAAUUGCAACACAUUUUGGCUAAUUCCAAAUGACCAAACAACAAUGCUCAACAUUAUUUCACUUCAUGGCUAUUGUGAGGUAACCACAAUGCGUUGUGGGCAACUCUGCCAAG